rnacentral:lncRNA from 1 species
UUAGCUCUUUCACCUUGUCAGACAGUCCCUUCAAUCCAAGAAUAUACAACAUCUAGAAGAAAUAAAACCAAUGACAUAAUUAGUAAACAAUUUCAGCGACAAAAGGAUAAAAAAAUUGGAUUUUUAAAACAAAACAUGCACCUGCACAAGUAUAUGUUAUAUUAACAAAAGUGCAGAUCCCGUCCCACUCUUCUUUCGAAUAGCAAUCUUGGUGAGUGAUCUCGACCGGGUUCGAUCGGCAUGGCGUGUCGUUCCUCCAGGAGUGGGUGCUGAGAGGAAGGAUGGCAAACCUCCAUUGUCAAUCGGCCGGAGCUGCAUCGUCAUUUGGAUCAGAGCAUGGACGAAAUCGAGAUGGUAGAGGUUGAGGAAUUUGUAGGACGUGAGGGUUUAGGGUGGGCAUCACGAGAACUCACCCAUAUCUUGGGAGACGGUAGACCCGAGG